rnacentral:rRNA from 1 species
UACAGAGGUCUCAAGCGUUGUUCGGAAUUAUUGGGCGUAAAGGGCUCGUAGGCGGUUUGUCGCGUCGGGUGUGAAAACACCGGGCUUAACUCGGUGCUUGCUUUCGAUACGGGCAGACUAGAGGCAUUCAGGGGAGAACGGAAUUCCUGGUGUAGCGGUGAAAUGCGCAGAUAUCAGGAGGAACACCGGUGGCGAAGGCGGUUCUCUGGGAAUGUCCUGACGCUGAGGAGCGAAAGUGUGGGGAGCGAACAGG